rnacentral:rRNA from 1 species
UACAUGUGGGGGCAAGCGUUGUUCGGAAUCACUGGGCGUAAAGCGCACGUAGACGGAUCUUUAAGUCAGGGGUGAAAUCCCGAGGCUCAACCUCGGAACUGCCUUUGAUACUGGAGAUCUUGAGUCCGGAAGAGGUGAGUGGAACUGCGAGUGUAGAGGUGAAAUUCGUAGAUAUUCGCAAGAACACCAGUGGCGAAGGCGGCUCACUGGUCCGGUACUGACGCUGAGGUGCGAAAGCGUGGGGAGCAAACAGGAUUAGAUA